UCGUAUUCGCGCUGCCACAGCUAAAAUCAGUUGGCUUGGAUAUUUGGCUCCAACUGCUCGCGGCUCGACGAGUUUGACUGGGCCGUCUCGCACAGCUUUUUCCAUGAUAUUUCCAAAUGCGAGACGCCGAACUUCUAGAGAACAGAGGCUAGCCAGCUCAAAUGGCUCAUUUCGGUCCUCCCUGGUAGACGCAUGCAUCCAUGGCAAUAUAUCCAGGCUGUGUCAACAAAUUGAUGCAAUGACGAGUGUUACUAGCCGGAAUCGUACAAAGAAUUUUGUCGCUUUUAAUUGAGAUUUAAAUGAUGUGUGUUGCGUCACCUGGAUGGAGUAUAGAGUAAAUAUACUAUUGGUAUUACCAAGCACGGCAGACUCCAACCCUUAUAUACGGUCCUCCCUGGUAGACGCAUGCAUCCAUGGCAAUAUAUCCAGGCUGUGUCAACAAAUUGAUGCAAUGACGAGUGUGAAUUAUAUAGCCGGAAUCGUACAAAGGAAUUUUGUCGCUUUUAAUUGAGAUUUAAAUGAUGUGUGUUGCGUCACCUGGAUGGAGUAUAGAGUAAAUAUACUAUUGGUAUUACCAAGCACGGCAGACUCCAACCCUUAUAUACGUGAGUUUAAGGACUCAACAAAGGUGUAGCUUCCUAUUUAUGUAUGUUCAAACUCAUUUGCGUAUUGCAACAAAAUUUUUUAUAAAGCAUUACAUGUCAAAAUGAUUUAUGUAAACAAUACAAUACAACAGCUGAAGCAAUAGUUUGACAAUGUACUUUUCAGCUCAAUUUACACCAAUGCCAGAUACGUUGACAUCUCGCGAUCUAAUACAGCAUUGAAAUUAAUACUAUGCGAUUUAGGUACUAAUAUUUACUGGUAAAUAAAGUUUGACUUGAAAAAAGAUGGUAUCUAUACGCAUGGUGGUGUUUGAUUCAAUGCAAUACUUAAAUUCUUAUGUUUAUUUUGAGCAUCUGGAAGUUAAUUUCAAAGGCACACACACACACACACACACACACACACACACACACACACACACACACACACGCACGCACGCACGCACGCAAACACACACACACGCACGCACGCACGCACGCACACACACAAACACGCACGCACGCACAUAAAAAAAAAUACAAAGCAAGAUGAGAUGCGUUCCUGUCUGGAACUUGACGAGAGUGGCACUGACACGGCAAAUGAGUAGCGAGGCAUUAUCACUUUAUUCGCCUCGGAAACGUUGUAAUUAUUAAAUUUGGCGUUGCACUGAUUGGAGUACAGUGACAAGCAUGUUUUUGUGACCACUGUUUGUUUGUUUGUUUAUCAUAUUGUAGCUGUAGUAUACAAAAUCACAUUCAUAAAAAAAUGUAUCAGCAAUGUAGGGAACAAUACUAUGUGGAUUUUUGAUUUGAUAAAUAUUUAAAUUUAUUCCCCUUGUUGUGUAUGCCGUGUUAUUCGCCAUUAGAGGCGCGAUGUAAAACAACAGAAAUACACGCUUAAUGUUUUGUUGUAUUACAUCCCAACUAAUAUGAGUGCGAGGAGACAUAGGUGGGGUGUUAAUAUUUCUAUUAUCUAAAAGUACUCCCUUAUACUUGAGUAAGGAAAU